rnacentral:rRNA from 1 species
UACGUAGGGGGCAAGCGUUGUCCGGAAUCAUUGGGCGUAAAGCGCGUGUAGGCGGUCCGGUAAGUCCGCUGUGAAAGUCGGGGGCUCAACCCUCGGAUGCCGGUGGAUACUGUCGGGCUUGAGUACGGAAGAGGCGAGUGGAAUUCCUGGUGUAGCGGUGAAAUGCGCAGAUAUCAGGAGGAACACCGGUGGCGAAGGCGGGUCUCUGUACCGUAACUGACGCUGAGACACGAAAGCGUGGGUAGCAAACAGG